UGCCUUAUUUUGGUGAAAUGGAAUUUUUUUCGGCAAUGUAAUUAAAUCGAUCGUGCACCUAGUUAGCAACGCUCAUAUAUUUUUCAGGUUAUUUUUGGAAAUGAUACAAAAGUAUGGGUCAAAAGAAAUCUUGAGGUGAGGAUACAAGAGCCGUUAUAGUCCACUUGAGAGAGAAUGAACUGCCAACGAAUUAAGAACGCACGAAGCAGGACUAUUUGAAAGAAAGGUGCUGUCUUCUGAUGAAAUAAAGAUAAACCGAGGCUGUUCAGAAAAAAAAAGUUUGGUUAGGUCACCAAACUGAAAAGAGCUAGUUACACUACUUCAAGCCUGGCGGCAAUAUAAUGCUUUGGGGUGCAAUGUUAUGGCAUGGGAUUUGGCUUAUAUCAAAAAUUGAUGAACAAAUGAACCAAGGUUUCAGGACAAUUUGGUCUCCCUUUAAAAACAAAACGUAUGGCUUUAUAAAGUAAAACGUCGACGGUGUAAAAGAAAUGGCUAAAAAGGAGUGGGAAGCGAUUCCAAAGGACAUCUGCCAAAAAUUAGUGGAGCCAAUGUCACGCAGAUGUUAAGCAAUAGUCGACAGUGAUGAUUUUGUUACAAAAUAUUGAACUUUAAAAGAUAAAAUUCCAUCAUUCAAUACAUAAAGCGGUGUUAAUUAA